ACAAAUUCUAGCCCUAAAACCAAUCAAUAUAACUAAACUACUAUAUAAAUUAAAACAUUCAAAUCAAAAAGUAUUGGAGAAAGAAAUUUACCUACCAGGAGCUAUAGAGAAAGUACCGCAAGGGAAUGAUGAAAGAAUGAUUUAAAGUACCAACAAGCAAAGAUUAAACCUUGUACCUUUUGCAUAAUGAGUUAACUAGAAAAAACUUAACAAAAAGAAUUUAAGCUAAGAACCCCGAAACCAAACGAGCUACCUAAAAACAAUUUCAUGAAUCAACCCGUCUAUGUAGCAAAAUAGUGGGAAGAUUUUUAGGUAGAGGUGAAAAGCCUAACGAGCUUGGUGAUAGCUGGUUACCCAAAAAAAGAAUUUCAGUUCAACUUUAAGUUUACCAUAAGAACAAAAAAAAACAAAAUGUAAACUUAAAUUAUAGCCAAAAGAGGGACAGCUCUUUAGGAAAGGAAAAAACCUUAAAUAGUGAAUAAACACCCAACAACUAAUUCAACCAUUGUAGGCUUAAAAGCAGCCACCAAUAAAGAAAGCGUUCAAGCUCAACAUUCAUACAUACCCCACUCACUAAUUCCACAAGCCUUAAUAAAUUCCUAUAUUAUAAAUUGGGUUAAUCUAUAAACCCAUAGAUGAAAUACUGUUAAUAUGAGUAACAAGAACUAAUUCUCCUAGCACAAGUGUAUGACAACCCGGAUAACCAUUGUCAGUUAUCGAACUAUAGGUACUAACCCAACAAUAAAACUACCUAACAUUCACUCGUUAGCCCAACACAGGUGUGCUCUAAGGAAAGAUUAAAAAAAGUAAAAGGAACUCGGCAAACACGAACCCCGCCUGUUUACCAAAAACAUCACCUCUAGCAUAACAAGUAUUAGAGGCAUUGCCUGCCCAGUGACUAAAGUUUAACGGCCGCGGUAUCCUGACCGUGCAAAGGUAGCAUAAUCACUUGUUCCUUAAUUAGGGACUAGAAUGAAUGGCUAAACGAGGGUCCAACUGUCUCUUACUUUUUAUCAGUGAAAUUGACCUUCCAGUGAAGAGGCUGGAAUAUUACAAUAAGACGAGAAGACCCUAUGGAGCUUUAAUUUACUAGUUUAAUUUAUAUAAAAACAACCUAAUGGCUCAAAACAAAACAAAUAUAAACUAAAAAAUUUCGGUUGGGGUGACCUCGGAGAAUAAAAAAUCCUCCGAAUGAUUUUAGCUUAGACCCACAAGUCAAAGUAACUUCAGUAUCUCAUUGACCCAAUUAUUGAUCAACGGACCAAGUUACCCUAGGGAUAACAGCGCAAUCCUAUUCAAGAGUUCAUAUCGACAAUUAGGGUUUACGACCUCGAUGUUGGAUCAGGACAUCCCAAUGGUGCAGAAGCUAUUAAUGGUUCGUUUGUUCAACGAUUAAAGUCCUACGUGAUCUGAGUUCAGACCGGAGCAAUCCAGGUCGGUUUCUAUCUAUUAACAAUUUCUCCCAGUACGAAAGGACAAGAGAAAUGGAGCCACCUUCACAUAAGCGCUCCCAACCAAUUUAUGAACAAAAUCUCAAUAAAAUAUAUAUGUACAAUAAAUUUAAACCUAGACCAGGUU
rnacentral:rRNA from 1 species